rnacentral:sRNA from 1 species
GCGAGUCUCUGGAAGAGACGAGUAACCUGCGUUCAGGUUCGAGCAUCGCGAAGCGAUACGACAACGCGCAGCGUUGCCCGAAGGGUGAGGCCAAAGGCCGAAUCAAUCCUGCACGACCCACCA